rnacentral:rRNA from 1 species
GAUGAACGCUGGCGGCGUGCUUAACACAUGCAAGUCGAACGAUGAAGCCCAGCUUGCUGGGUGGAUUAGUGGCGAACGGGUGAGUAACACGUGAGUAACCUGCCCUUGACUCUGGGAUAAGCCUGGGAAACUGGGUCUAAUACUGGAUAUGACUUCUCAUCGCAUGGUGGGGGGUGGAAAGAUUUAUUGGUCUUGGAUGGACUCGCGGCCUAUCAGCUUGUUGGUGAGGUAAUGGCUCACCAAGGCGACGACGGGUAGCCGGCCUGAGAGGGUGACCGGCCACCAUGGGACUGAGACACGGCCCAGACUCCUACGGGAGGCAGCAGUGGGGAAUAUUGCCCAAUGGGCGCAAGCCUGAUGCAGCGACGCCGCGUGAGGGAUGACGGCCUUCGGGUUGUAAACCUCUUUCAGUAGGGAAGAAGCGAGAGUGACGGUACCUGCAGAAGAAGCGCCGGCUAACUACGUG